rnacentral:misc_RNA from 1 species
UAAGUGCGAUAAGCAAUGCGAAUUGCAGAAUUCCGUGAGUCAUCAGAUCUUUGAACGCAAAUGGCGCCAGUGGUCUUCCCACCGGCAUGCUUGUUUCAGUGUCGCUUUAAAAUUGUCCCACAUCUUAAUGUGAGUGAUUUAAUCUCUCGCUAAGUGUGAGCGGCAUUAUGCAUCCGCGUAGCUUCGGCUAUCUCAAUGCAGCAGUCGCACCUUGUGUGUGUCCUCAUUGGGAGUCGGUUGUAUAAAGCAGCAGAGUACUAAAAGUUCUCAUUUGCACCUGAAAUCAAGUAAGAGCACCCGCUGAACUUAA